CACUCUUGCAAGUCUUCGUGUCAUCUGGGGGCUUGAAACUGAUAGAUGCCUGCCAAAGCCUGCAUCAAUAACAAGAUCAGGAAUGAUGUGAGAAGCAUCCGGGGAGGAGGGACAAAGGGACCCUCUCCUCAGCCCCCUCCUCGCGUCCUCUUGGGGAUGGCACAGUCCAUCUAUCACCAGCUUGAGUUUGUGUUGACUGCAGCCGUAGCCCUCUUAUUAGCCCCACCUCAUCCCACCUGGGUGUCAUUGUCUCUGAGCUUCACAGAAUGGGGUGGUACUUUGUUUUGUGAAGUCAGCUGCCAGGAAGCUAGAGGGGGGUGGGGGCGGGGGGAGUGUGUAGAAGCAGUUUCCAUCUACUCAGAAGUGGUGCAAGAGAGCUUAAGCGGCUGUUUUGUUUUUGUUUUGUUUUUCCAUCCUAGCUCCCCAACCCUUUCUAAGACUGCUGAAUGCCUCCUGCCUCCGCUGCAGUCAGUGGGCCUGCCCCCUCGCUCUUUGUAAACUAGACCCUGAGGGUGGAGCUGGACAGGAAAAGAGGGGCCUCUUUGUGCCUCCAUGCUCAGUGUCACGUAGAAUAUACAUACUCUUGUGCACCUGCCAGAGCUCCAACAUAUGAAUAAUCACUUAAAUAUUUUUUUCAAACGAAGGCAAUGUGUUAAAGACCCGGGAAAUGCGUUUUCCAGUCUGAGAACCAAAUACUUCAGCUCAGAGACUGGCUGCUGGAAACCGGCAGCUGAGAAUGAGGCAUGACAUGAACAAUUUGGCUUCCUCCAGAGGGGAAGAUUCAGAAGCACUUAAUCUGCAGUGGAUGUUGCCCCUCAGUGGUUUAUGAACUCUGGGCAUGCUCAUCUCUGUCAGGGGCUGCCUUUUAACUAGUCUAAGAGCCUCUCCUUAGAGCUUAAAGCAAUUGUCCUACCAAUGUCUGUUACAUUUGCCACAGAAGCAGCAUUUUAUGUCUUCAGAUUAUAGUUGUCAUUCGGUCUCUAAGCCAAGGGACAAAGAGGACCGCCUCCCCCGCUUCCCCCCACUUGAUGGUGCUUAAAGAGAAAUUUUAAUUACCUUGCUUAGUAACAAUUUUCCCCCCAUAGCAAAUGCAUUUCGCUUCUUGCAGAUAUUUGCUAAUUAUAGGGUGUUUUGUUCCUUCAGCCCAUAGUUCUGGCAUGCUCGUGCUAUGGAGCUAAUCAAUGCUGCUUUCUCUUUUCUUUUACUAAUGGUAGGGUAAAACUACCACCCUCUUCUCCUUUUAAAUCUCUAUUCACGGGCUAGGACAAUAUUUGAGGCUGUUAGGCAUUUAUACCUACAGGUUUGGCAGCAGAAUCACACAUAUGUUGAAGCCUGAGGUGCUGGUUGAGUCUUGGGCACCGUCGCCAAGUGAGAGCUGCAGCCCCUCCACACCACCCAGGGCGGUCACGGGGUUCUCAGAGGCAUUUUUCAGGGUCUUCAUCCUUGCCUGCCUCCUCUUCAUAUGCUGCCCUUUCUUCCACUUGGCUUUAACUUGUGCCUUUCCCCCCAUUGACCUGCUUACAAGGUUGUUGUCAAAAAGGUUUAGUAUCUAUAUUUCAUUCUAAAAGCGAUGUUGAUGAAAAUUUGGUUAAGAAGCAAAACAUGAGCCACAGCCCUAUCUUCAGGGCUUUUAGAUAUUUCUAUAUAUCCUCCAUGUAUUGUGUUCUUUUACUCUCCAUGCAAUUUUGUGUUCCUGUGUUUAUAAAACAAGCACUUGCCUGUGUCA